rnacentral:lncRNA from 1 species
UUCCGCUCAAGUUCCUCCGCCGCGACCUCAGGACAGGCCGAAGAGGCGCGCACUACUCACGUGUCUUCCAAGUGCUGCUCCAAGGUCGCCUCCAUCCCACCCACCGACCACUCCGGCUCAGAACCCAGCGGCACGGCACGUCCUUCUCCACCACAGGCCUCAGUCACUUGACGCGAGCGGGGCGUGGACCGUAACGGCGCCUCCAAAGGGACAAAAUUGAUCACGGUGCAACGUCCGCGUUCUUUACUGGAAAACAUCACUGCGCUUCCGUCGCACAGAGCCUGACGAAGGCUUGGGCUCCCCGCGCGGUGACCGUCGAGGUGACCUGCACCUGGCUCCAUGGCGGAACCGGCCGGCACGGAUUAUUCCCCUCUCGGGAGAGGUCUGCAGCCGGGCCUCAGUGCUUCAGUUCGUGGCCUGGCAUUUUGUGAAGAGUGUCUUCAUCUCUGCAUCCCUAGUGCAACAGAGCAUGACAAAAAUUCAACAAAUAUUUAUUGAAGAGUCUUGAUGUCUUUUGGGAAAGGAACUCUAUGGUUACCUUUACUCUAAGUUAAAAACAACAACAACAACAACAAAAACACAAAACCCUGAGGCUCAGAAGAUAAAUAUUUGCUGAAGAUCACUGUGCUUAUUAGAUGGGUGUUACUGAUUCUUACCUCAGAGAAGAGAAUGUCAUGGAGACAAAAUGACCUGCUUAGAGUUCUGCACCCCCCAGCAUGGAGAGCAGAGCGCAAAGAUUUCUUCCGGACUCCCACAUUCCCCUUGGAAUCCAAGAACUGGUCUACUGUCACAACACUUUAGUACCCUCUUCUCCCAAGGAGGCAGCAGAAACUGGGGUAAUCACAACGGUCAA